rnacentral:lncRNA from 1 species
AAAUAUCCAAUCUCCACCAGUCCUGUAUACUGUUCAAAGAAACCCACCUCCUUGGACAGCCAAGAGAACAAAAACCUUAAUUGUCUGAUGCUUUGGAACUUCUGCCAUGUUAAUUACGGACUGCUUAGAGCAUUGUACUUAUCCGUGUGCCUAGACAACAAUGAGACGGGCUACGGAGUAUGAAAAUCCCUUUCAAUAUUUCUUGUAUUAAAGCCUUAAAGUGUAUAACGGUAUACACUUUUUAAAAUAAUUGU